rnacentral:lncRNA from 7 species
CAGCAUUGUUUCAAGAAAGAAUUAGACUGGUUGCUGGGAGAACAAAGGAAAGCACUGAGUCAUUAGAUACUUAGGAAGAUGAUCCAUGAAGAAAGACUGAUUGGACUGGAGUCUUUAAGCUGGCUUCAGGCAAAUGGUGAUCUGGCUUUCCAAGGAAAAGAAACUCAACUCCAAAGAAGUCCAUGUUCCUUGUGCAUUCUGGUGUAGGAGCAUUAAGAUCUUCACUGAAGUUCUUUUCAGUGAUCAUUGCUGAGCAAAUCUGAAAUUAACAAGUGGAACGGCCUCACCAAUUAUGUUAUAUAAGAAAAAGUUGAGCAGAGCAUAUAAAGCUAACUUGUGUGAAAUGAAAACAUUCGGUCUCUUCUGGAAGAAAAAAGAUCUCUUUCAGAGGGGUGGGAAAAGUUGUUUGGUCAUGUACUUUUUUCUGGACCUUGGAGAUUGAGCCACUUAGUUUAUUUUUAAAUCUGCAUUUACAAAUAUCUCACUGUCCUUGCUACAAAGAAAUAUUUGUGCAUCUUUGGAGAACAACAGAUAAGCAUGAAAAUAUCCUCCAAGACAAAGCAGAUGCAAAGCAUCCUUUCUCAGGCUACUGUAAAACUGUGGGUGACUUGAGUAUAUAUUUUUUUCCUGUUGUGUUUUUUCCUUGUGUGAGCUAUUUGUUCCUUGCCUUCUGAGUAACCAGAAUGAAUGACAAGCAAGGGAUAGUGGAACUUCUCCUUUUGAGCUUUUGUACCCUUGCAGACUCUACUUGUAGUAGAUGUUCAUUUAGGAAGGAUGUAAGGGGCAACUUGUUCUUAAAGUUGUGUAAUCUUACUGUUGUAUGUGAACUUCUCACAGCAAAGAGUUUCACCUAUUGCCUUGGAAAUGCAGAACAAUUUCAAGUUUUAUCUCCUAUCUCCUGUUUAUCACUUCUAGAUCAAUGCUUUUUGAUUUUUCCAGAACCACUUGUAAAACACAAAACAAACAUUUUAAAAAAUAAAGUUUAUCU